ACGACCUUUUGUUCUUGUUCUUGGUCAUUCUUCUCGUUACGGCACUGGAAAUACAGUGUUGUUGAUAGGAUUGGAUACUUAUCCAAAGUGAGGGUGUUACUGUUUGGCUUCUCCCGGUCCUCUGUGCGUUCUUGACCUGUGCCGUUUACCCACCUCACGCUCACGAACGCUUCUUGGAAAGUGCGCUCUUGGGUACAUGCAGCGUCUCGACAGAAUUUUUUGGAGUCCGUCUUCGGAUAUAAAGUCGACUGAUUCGGGCACUCCAGAGUGACUUCACUUUGUUCUGUUGUGAGCGUAGCGACGGCAAAAUCUGUUUUCUCUUGGUUGGCAACAGCAGCAUCUGAUGACGCUGCGCCGUUUGACAAGAAAGCAAGGCCAACGAAGAUUGAAACGACUACUGCCGUUUGAAGGCUUUUCGAGACCUGAAAGCCCCUCAACGCCGUUCCUUCCAUUUUGCCGUCUUAAACACUUUCUGGUUCACUCAGGACCCACUUUGGUAUUAAGGUUAGUCAACACACAAUUCCGCAGUCACGUCUUGCGAAGCAGUCCGCACGCAACACGACCGCUAGACAGCGCCUGAAUCCAGGAGAAUUCACAACGAUGUCUUGCGGGACAACAUAUAGGAAACCGGCGCGCCUUUGUGGUGAACGACUGUCGAAGAUGGAGGGCGCGAACAAGCGUUUUCUGACUGUGUCGUGGAGCGGCACAUUCGACGACGCGCCUUCCGCUGAAGUGUUGCCCUUCAGGCAUUCCCGCUGGGUCGAUGGCGCCCGACCGGGUCGAGCACGAAAGAAGUUCCGUUUCCCCAACGCGCGAUGCGCGAGUUGGUGUCGACAGUGAGCGCCAUCAUUUCAACCAAGUGAUGCUGCUACGGGAGAAAUAGGAGUUGUGUGGAAUUUUGAGGCUCACAGCAGACAGACCAUGUGUCUGAGCCAUUUGCGCAGAUGUUCACCGAAUUAGGUUUCGAGCCGACUCAGAGGUCUCGUGAACCGCAGCACACAGCGUCAUCACAAACGGCAUGAACUCCGAACAUUGCGGACUAAUUCACUGUUUUGACAACAAAUGUACCACCAAUGAGAUGGAAAAGCGUGAACGAAUUGCGGAUGAGCGUGCCUCGACAGGAACAAAUAACCAGACAAAGCAGCCUCAUACAGAAAGCUAGCUCAUGGCGGCAGAAGCGAAAAACAUAAUGAGUAGAGCAAGAAUCCAAACCCCUGUGGUAGACUUGCGUGUGGAACUGCCGGAUGGCGAUUGCGAGCCGCUGGGCUUCUCAUCUGUUCCAUUUGGAGUUUCACCUGGUUUCCCUGAAUUCGCGUCCCCUUCCUGCUCUGGCUGACCAGGCUUCUCUUCGCUUCCUUCUUGUGUUGGUGGUUGUGUGUCCUCUCCCGGUCCUUCGGGAGUCGCUGCCGGUUUAGCGUCGACUGUAAUAAGCACCUUACACUCCUUGGAAGGCUGUGGAUGUAGAAUUGGGUGCACUGCUUUUUCAAUACACUUGUAGCAAAGUUUGACUUUGUUCGUGGGAAAGUCAAUAACCUCAAAUGUGUAGGUGGGCAGAUCUGUCGCAUCGGUGGCCGGAAUUUCGGAGUAAGGCACCGCGUUUGUCGAUGAGGUAGCGGACAUCCCUUCAACCAAGGAGGCAGACAACUUGAGAUCCGCCAGUUUCACCGUCUGAUCACAGCCAUCUCCCUGCAAUGCUUCUUCGAAGUUGAUCGUCGACAGUGUGUCAGCGUCUGAUGCACACCGAAAUGUAACCUUGUUGGAAGUGGAAUUGAGGGUGACAGACUUGUCGUUGCCGAUUGUGCACACAUCUGUGACGAAUGCCAUACACACACAUUGAUGGAAACGAAUGACAGUGUCCGUUUCAAUCUCCGAAUUUGCCUCAAAAACGCAGAUGGGUACGUGCAUUCGAGAAAAGUAAAAUGAGAACGCCCUUCGCAAUACGAAUGAUCCACAAUGUGUUACGACGUCGAGAAGCUAGAUACAAAUUCCAGCGGUUACGGGAAAGGUGUUCCGUAUUGAUAUGCGUUAAUCCUGCU
rnacentral:lncRNA from 1 species